AGCACUCCAAUCUCUGCCUUCUGCUCUGUCUUCACACGGCCUUCCCUCUGUGUCUCUGUGUCCUCUUCUCCUCUUAUAAGGACAACAGUGAUGAGAUUUGAGGCCUACCCCGCAUGCAGAUAAUCUGAUCUCAAGAUUAUCACCUUAAUUACAUCUGUAAAGACCUUAUUCCUAAAUAAAGUUGCCCUCUGAGUUCUGAGUGGACAUGAAUUUGCAGGGCAGGCUACUCUUCAACCCACUAUGCAGUGAGAAUGGGCUGUGCAGAGGCCGCCCACACCUGGCAGGGGUCAAGGUGAGCCCUCGGUCGCCACGUUCCCUGGGACUCCCAGGAUGGCAAGCCUGGCAGCAGUUCCUGUUUUCUUUGGUGUCAUUGGAAAUGCUACUGUUUGGAUGUAGUUUGUUGGGAUGCCAAUAUAUCAAGAAAGGCUUCCUUGUUCUCCCUCCUGAAAUUCUGCACACACGACUGUUUUUAGCAACAGUGAUGUGAUCUCUAUUUUUGGUGGCAGUUUUGAGCACCCUGUCCGUUGGAACUUUUUGUGUUGUAAACAGACAGGAGAUCCAGCCCAAAUGGAGGUAAGUAAUAAGGACCAUGCACUCACCUCGGUGGAGAGGCCACGGGUUCGGAGACCUUCAGGAGAAGUUUGAUCCAGCCGCUCAGUGAUGCAGCAGGGACCGAGAGCCCUUGGGUGCCCUGCUCCCUCCACAUUCCCAGGGGCUCCUCAUGCUGCCCUGGCAGCUCUGCAGAAGGCCUCCCUGAAGAAAGGCAGCUGGUCCCAGCUAGAGUCCCAGGGUUCAUGCUGGCUGAGCCCCCUUCUUGUUUCUUCCCCAACCCAGAGCUAUUCUCACCUCCCCUGAAGGCCUUCCCAGGUGAUGGGGGCCAUGGAGACUGCAUUGGACAGCUCUGUGCACUGUCCAUGAAGCACUUGCUGCAGGACUCCCUUAGAAACGUGAGGCUUUAAACACCUUGGGACCCCAGGAGGAGGCAUGUGUCCAGCUAGCGGUGCCCCUCUGUGGUGUGGAGAACGUUCUACUCAGACGUUCCUGAGUGGGAACUUGGCAGCACAACUGGGAAACCUGUUGCUUCCAGCCCCGCGGGCCUGUAGACCCCCCACCAGAGAUGGGCCCUCCUGCCAGGCUUCCUACCUUGUGCAACUUAGCCUCCUGCUGCACCCCAUCCACCAGCUCUGCCAGCACGAGAGGUCAUCCCACACGCUCCUGCUUCCAGGCCACCAGCUGUCCCCCAUGGCCCCCAUCUCCCCUGUACCCUCUGGACUUUGCAGAGACCCCUCUGCUCUCCUUGGGGUUACAGAGCUCUGCAUCUGUCUCCUCCCCUCCCCUGCAGCUGCUCCCAAUCCUGCACCCCACACAGAGCCUGGGGCUCCACACUCCUUCACCACUGACCACACCUGCCAGGUGCUGCCUGCAUCUCAACUCAGGCCACCUGCUCCCGCCCUCCAUGUUGGGUUCAUGCAGCGAUUCUCCCAGGCCACUCUGUGUCUCCCUCUGCUCCAGCAUCCUGCUGCCUAGGCGGCCGUGCCACUGCAGCCCUUGCUCCAGAGUACCUGCCUGGAAACCUUGCCCCGGCUCCCCAAAUGCACCUCCCUUCCCACAGGACAUCCAUUCAAGGCCACAUCCAAACCUCCAAAUGCCUCCUGAACACUUCACCUAGAGGCCUCACCUGCCUGGUGGCUCACGGAGGCUGGCGCCAUCGCCUCCCCCCGCCACAGCCAGACUGGUCUGCUCCCCCUCCUCUUCACGUCCCCUCUUGGUGAUCACCUGCUCCCCCAUUUCCCACCUCAAGCAGUCUCACCCUCCUCUGUGCCCCGCCCCUGGCUCCUACCUACGCAAGGUGGCAGCCUCUGGCCACCCUGCACGCCCAGCCAUGCAGAGCCUGGGAAACGACAGGACAUGUGGCUGUCCUUUCACGGCCCCUGUCACCUCCCCCAAAUCCAGCCAGGGCUGAGACGCCCCACACUGUGGCCCCCGGCAUAAGGCCUUGAUCCUUCCUGAGGGCAGGAUGGGGGCAGUUUUGUUCUGUGAAGUUCCUUGGCCUUGAGCUUAGCUGGACCCCGCUCCCGGAAAGCCCGAGAAACAGACGUUCCUCUGUGAAAGCCCCUUCUGAGCACCUGCAAGGAGCACUCUGCCAUCCCACUCCUGGUUCAGGCUUUCAUCCGCGUGGAGGGCCUUGUCUUCUGUGAGUCCCCGCCUCAGCCUCACCUGGCUCCUAGGAGGCUCUGGGAAGGUUAGCUGGGCUGUUCCCCAAACAAGGGGCCACAGGAAGGUGGGGGCUCCUGAGGGUCUGGGAGGCAGGGGAGACUAUGUGUGCCCUUUCUCUUCCGCACCUGAAACCUGACUUUCCCUCACUGGAGACCUGAGGAUGGAGUGCAGUGGCUUAGCUAAGCUUCUGUUAACAGCAUGCUCACUGUUUUGAAACAGAAAUGAAAGAACAUUUGGGAGUUGGGGUAUGUGCAGAGAAAACAUUUUCCUUGAAUGUCUUUACUGAAUGGGUGGGAAUAGGUAUGUGUGAAGGGGAAAAGUUCAGGGUACAGUGGUCAGGUCCUUGGGAGAUGUCGGGGAGGGCCGUCUGGCCCAGCUCCUGAGGAGGGUGGGCCCAGGCUCAUCCUAUACGCACUAGUCCUGACGCCUCACAAUUAAUCAAAUGGCUAAAAACAAACACAAAAGAAGCCCUCAGCAUUGUGUUACCAGGGCAGCGGUGUGAUGUCAUCUGUUCAUUCCAAGCUGUCACCCCGAAGCUGAGUGAACUCCGCAAAGCGUCUUCUGUGUACCUGGGAGGAGCAUGGUGCCAUUUCCCUUCCUCCUUCAGACUUUCUUCUACAUGGAAGGCCCCGUCCUCCACAGGUCCCAGCCUCAGCUGACACUCGGGUCCCAGGAGGCUCUGCGAAGGUUUGCUGGGCGGUUCCCCCGCACGCCGGGCUACAACAAAGGAACACAGCAUGACACGUGCUGUGAACCUCAGCUGUGAGACAACCGAAGGAGAGACAACAUUCAGCAAAAACAGAGCCCAAACUGUCCCCGUUUCUCUCAGCCCCAACUGCUCCAUGGCUUGGAGUGCAGCAAAUGUUUCAGCCGCGCUCAAAGGGAAGGCUUUGCUCUGGAGUCAGCAUGCAGAGCUCGCCUCGACUCCCCUCCAUGCCGCUCCUCACCAGCACUGGCUGGGUUUGAAUCUCAGCUCCCUGGCUCCUCGCUGUAAGCCCUGGAAUGCAAACCCCAAGGGCCAAACACCCCGAGGCUCUCAGGUCCCAGGCGCGGACACCUUCCUGGCCUUGGCUGUCAUGGCCCAGAUGGAAGCAAAGACAACUCCCCUCUCCACAGGUCGGCUGGUCCUCCUGCCCCGAGAGCAGGAGCCCAGGCACAGGCUCUGUACAGAGUUCUCCAUCUACUUCUCCCAGGGUGGCUAUGCAAAGGCCGUCUGCCUCUCGCUCUCUGGGUCCCACCUGCAGCCUGUCCCAGUGGAUUCUGUAGGCUCCACAGUGAUGCUGGGAAAAGACCCAAACACCCGGACAAAGCACGUGGACAGCUGCCAAUGCCAAAACGGCAGGAAGCAAGGGAAAGGCAGCUGGCUCCGACCCUUUGCCAACCGUGUGCAACGCUGCAGGCACCUAGAGCCAGCGAGGAGCUACCAAACUGGUUCCCAUCUAUGCUUGCAGCGGCUGCUGUCGCAGAGGCAGGACAGGGGUGCAUGGCUAUGCCAAGUAUCCUUCUGGGAUGAGCCGAUUCUCUUGUCCCAGGUCGGGCAUGAUGGAGAGGCCAGAAGGUGUGUUUGAAUAGCAGGCAUUGGGGGUUUGCAAAGGGCUGUGAUUUCCUGGGCCUCCCGUCUUAGGCAGGCUCUGGGUUCUCCUUGGUUCUUCCCUUGGAGCAGGGACCUGGCUUUGGAUGACCAUGGAUCUUUCCUGGUUUCUGCUGUUAUCUUGCUGUGUGACCGAGGUCAAGUCCACACUCCCUUCCCAAGCUUGUUUUCUCUGCAGUAAAACUGCCAUUUGGAACUGAACCCUUCAAGGGGAGGCGGCUGAAACAGUGGGGGUGAUGCUGGGUGCUAAGCCCUACCCCUUCUCCUAAAUACCUACUUCUCUCCUUUUUUUUCCUUUUUUACCUAUUAAUGGGUUAGACAGCCAAAAACCCUCUCUGAAAGAGUGUCCUGGCCCAAGUCCGCCUGGGGCACUGUUGUGAGCCUCAAUUUCUACGGAUCUAUGCCUGGAAAGCUUUUAGCAUAAAACGUUUUAGGUAGAAGACCGGGAUCACGGAACAGGAUCAGGACCCCAGAACAGGACCGAGACCAUGAAACAGGAAGCAAGCUACAUCCAGCACCCAGUUCAGAGAGAGGGCUGGGGACGCCGACACUCCACCUCCUUCCCAGCAAACUCGGAAGGCUCCAGGGCAUCCCUGGAGCUGCUCUGGCAGAGAAGAAUCAGUGUCCACACGUGCAGCUCUCGCUCGAGGAAGGGCAGGGGCGACAUCAGAGGCAUGCUUUGCACAGCACACGCUUCUAGAAUGGCUGGGAUUUCAACCUUGAAAGUCUCAACUCCUUCUUCCUCCUCAGAUCUUGGGAUUUUGAAAGUGAUUCCUAAAUGCCUUUCGAUCUCAUUUUUGCCGAAGGAGAUGGUCCUAAUUUACUGCAUUCCAAUUGGAAACAUUUUUGAGAGUAAAAAUACCUGAAGACAUGUUGGGCCUGGAGGUAGCAGACUCAAAAUUAAAGCAGGGGCCCCUCUAUCCACCGCCCCCCAGAUUGCAUUAAACACAGCAUGUUGGGGAUCAGUGAGUUGCCAUGGCCCUGCAAUCAGACAUUUUGCCCUCUGAAAUUUAGCCUUGAUUUUGAAGCCCUGAGUUUAGUAUAUUUAGAUGAGCUGACGGGCCCAGGGAGUCACUCAGAAAGGGUAGAGGUCCUUCAGAGCUGCGUUAAGAUACAGUGGGAGGGGGUCAAAUUGCUAAUUUCAUCUGCCACUGAAAACUCCCAAACAGCAGAGAACUUCCCAGAAGACUUGUGAAGUUGGGAGUCUGCAGGUGGCGGGGGUUGGGUGGGGAGGUGAUGGCAUUCUACCCCUAAGAGAGCAUUUUGAAGUUGAAGCUCAACUUAAAAUAUUUGUGCCUAUUUUUGAGACAGGGUCUUGCUCUGUCACCCAGGCUGGAGUGCAAUGGCACCAUCUCAGCUCACUGCAGCCUCGACCUCCCAGGCUUGAGCAAUCCUCUCACCUCAGCCUCCUGAGUAGCUGGGACUACAGGCAUGCACCACCACACUUGGCUAAUGUGUGUAUGUGUGUGUGUGUUUGUAGAAAUGGGGUUUUGCCCUGUUGCCCAGGCUGGUCUCAAACUCCCGAACUCAAGCCACCUGCUCUCCUCGGCCUCCCAAAGUGUUGGGAUUACAGAUGUGCAUCAUCGUGCCCAGCCACAUUAUGCUUUUUAGAGGGACAUCACCAAUCAGACAGUGGCCUGGGCUGGACACAGCAUCCCUGGAAGACGGCCCCUCUCUAAGGUGUCAUCUGCCAUUAGCCAAGGACCCUCUUGUCUCUCUAGCUCCAAGUCUCCACAGAGGAUGUGCUCAAAAGUGAGUGUGUGUGGCCUUGCCCCCCACUUCUCCUGCCUGCAGGUGGGGAGGGAAGCAGGUGGCAGGAGGAGGUGGCUGUCUGGGGCUGCCCUCCUCUGUACCUGUGCGUGAUUUUACUCUAUGCUGAGUGCCAGCAGGGAGGAUGGGAAACAACAUUUCUGUCUGGUUAUCAAAUGAUCGCCAUCAUUGGCCUCAUGGCAUCACCACUGUCUUCAUUGCUGGCACCUUCCCGUCCUCCCUCCAGCCAGGGAAGUCUGACCCAGGCACAGGUGACAGGAAGUGUCACUCUGCCUUAGGGGUCUGCAAUCUUGGGAUGUCAAACAGGCCCCACGGUGCCUUGCACCCCUGGUCUCACACUCUGUAUCAUUUUCUGUACUGUUCAUGUGGUUCUCAAAGCAGGCGUGGCCAGGGAGUGGGACAGCUUUGUGUCCGUGUCUUGGAGCUGCUGCAAAGAGGCCCCGAGGGCCGGGGGCUCAGGCCACAGAAACGGAUCUUGUCCCGGCAGUGGGGGCUGAAGCCUGAGAUCACAGUGUGGGCGGGGCUGGGUCCUUCUCAGGCUGUGUGGGGGGUUCUGUCCCAGGCCUCUCUCCUGGGAGUGCAGGCACUGGCUCCGCCCAUGUCCUUCACCUCCCCUUCCCUCUAAUUGUGUCUGCCUCUGUCACCACAUCUCCUCUUUAUGAGGACAUUGGCCCUAUUGGAUCAGUGCCCUCUCUAAUGACCUCAAUUUAAAUCAGUGACCUCUGUGGAGACCCUCUCUCCAGAUAAAGCCUCCUUCAGAUAAAGCCUCUUGCGGAUAAAGCCUAAAGCACUGGUGGUCAGGACUUCAACGUGUGAAUUCCAGGAGGACACACUUCAGCCCAUUACAGACCUGAUGGCUUCUGCCAGACACCCAGCCGAUCCCCAUGGCUUAUGGAGGAAGAAGACAAGUGGAGACGGGGAGGUGGUCGGGCGACCCUUUCCACGGCCAGCAGCAACUGCACCCGUGUCUGGGCACCUCCUGAGUGCUGUAAGCCCCCAUGCAUCAUCAAGACGGAGGCCCAGGCAAGGGCAGGUGGGAGCUGAAACCCGUCUCAGGAGGUGGAUAUUUUUAUCAUUGGGUGUUUGUAUUUUUCUUAUUAUAAGAGCCUUCGUCUUUUUCUUCUUGCACGUCAUUUAUUGCUUGCUUUUAUUCUUAUCUGGUUGUUUUCUGUGUGGGUUACAGAUCCCCAAGCCACCUUCCCUUGGUCCCAGCCCAGAUUGUGGCUCCCCUGUGUGCCUCCCAGGCCCCAGGAUAGACGUCAACCGUGUCCCCUUGUGGGUGCCUUGAGCUUAGCACCUGCCUGUCCCUUCCAGGGGCCCCUCUAAUACAGGACUUACAUCUUCAUGAAGACACUAACUGUACUAGUGCGUGUUCUCCAGAGGAGCAGAGCCACUCAAGGUGUGCACAUCAGAAGAGAGCUAUUUUAAGGAACUGGCUGACGCUGGCAAGUUCAAACUCUGCAGGGUGGGCCGGCAGGCUGGAGACCUGGGAAGGAGCUCAUGUCACAGUUCGAGGCCUAAGGCAGUCUGGGGGUGGAAUUCCUUCUUGCUCAAGGCUGGUCAAUCUCUUUGUUCUAGUCAGGCCUUCAACUGAUUGGGUGAGGCCCACCCCUUUUGACGAGAGCCACCUGCUUUACUCGAAGGCUAAUCUCAUCUAGAAACACCUUUACAGGUGCAUCCAGAGUAAUGUUUGACGAGCUAUCUUAGCACCGUGGUCCAGCCAAGCUGACUAUAGAAUUAAUCAUCACACCGUCUAAUGCCAAAAUAAUUCAAAUCUUUUUUUAAGUGAAAACAAGUUUAUUAAGAAAGUAAAGGAAUAAAAGAAUAGCUACUCCAUAGGCAGAGCAGCCCCAAUAAUUCAAAUCUUUACUGAAGUCCCAAGAGGCUUGUGGGAGGAAGGUGUACUCCGAACGCACAGCAAAAUCUUAACAUUUCUCUCUCCCUGGCCACUCUCCACAUUGCUUGCUAUGACUCCCCUGAAACUGCUCCCCUCAUUCUCAGCCUUGAACCCAGAAAUACCCCAGCCCCCAGCACUCCUGCACUUCCUUCCGCCUCCCACUUUGUUCCUGUCCUGUCCUUCCUUCUCCUCCGCAGAUGACUCCCAGCCACUUCCAGUCCUCACCCUGUCCCAACUUCUCCACCUUUGUCUCUCCACCAGCCCUGAGGCCUCACCAUGCAAGUCCAGGCACUGAGCCAGCAAAGGCAGAAUCCACCGCCCCCAGCACCACCGUCCAAAGUGGAGAUGAUGUCAGCAAAGGGGAUAUUGAAGCAGAUGGAGUGGUACAGAUGGUGGGUCACUAAAACGCAGGUUGAAGGCUUUUCACAUCAAGUCAUGCCUGUGCCCACAGACAGGGGAGGAGGUGGCAUGAGGCUCCAAGCUCUGGAGCCUUGGAAGUCAGGCAGGCCCCACUGGAAUCACAGCCCCCUACUCCCAGGCACACCUAAGGAGUCAGUCUCUCCUGACCGAUGGAUCCAACUUCACAGCUGCGACUGAGCACCAGGGGGACGUGGCGCUGGGAAAUUGUCCCGGCAGACGAGACUGAACCCUAGAAGGGCCCCAUGGUAAAACUGAUAAAGCCUGAAAUGUGUGUGCAGACAUGGGCCUCUUUAUUACCACACAACGACCAUUAAAAUCUCUCUGCUAUGGUGUAAUUAUUUUCCAUAAAUUAUUGGGGUACUGGUGGUAUCUGGUUACAUGAGUACGUUCUUUAGUGGUGAUUUGUGAGAUCUUGGUGCACCCAUCACCUGAGCAGUAUACACUGCACCAUAUUUGUAGUCUUCUAAUCCCUCACUGCCCCCACUCUUCCCCCCAAAUCCCCAAAGUCCAUUGUAUUGUUCUUAUGCCUUUGAGUCCUCAUAGCUUAGCCCCC
rnacentral:lncRNA from 1 species